UCGCCUGUUUAACAAAAACAUGUCUGUAUGGUUGUUAUAUAGAGUCUAGCCUGCCCACUGAUAUUAAUUGAAGGGCCGCGGUAUCUUGACCGUGCGAAGGUAGCAUAAUCAUUAGUCUUUUAAUUGAAGGCUUGUAUGAAUGGUUGGACAAAAAGUAGGCUGUCUCUCCCACAAAAAUUGAAUUUAACUUUUAAGUGAAAAGGCUUAAAUGAUUUAGGGGGACGAUAAGACCCUAUAAAGCUUUACAAUAACUCAGGUGUACUAAGAUUUGUUUGUAUAAUUUGGUUUACCUGAGACUUGUUUCGUUGGGGCGACGAGAAUAUAAUUAAAUAACUGUUCUUUUGGAGUUUACAGUAUUAAUUGGUUAAAAAUUGAUCCUUUAUUAAAGAUUAAAAGAUUAAGUUACUUUAGGGAUAACAGCGUAAUCUUCUUUGAGAGUCCAGAUCGACAAGAAGGGUUGCGACCUCGAUGUUGAAUUAAGGGAUCCUUAUGGUGCAGCAGUUAUAGUGGAAGGUCUGUUCGACCUUUAAAUCCUUACGUGAUCUGAUUCAGACCGGG
rnacentral:rRNA from 1 species